UUUUUCUUUCAUUGUUUUACCAUCCAAUAUUACAUGUACAAAAAUGGCCAUUAAUACUAAAUUGCUAAUCUCCAUAUAUUGCCUAUUAUAAUUAGGUACAAAUUCUUUAAAAUACCAAAACAGCUAUAAUGACCAAUCAAUUUAAAGGAACAGUCACUACAAAUAUACAGGUAACAACUAAACUGGGAAAAAAAAACAAAUAAACAGCCUUUGUAAAAAAGACAAUUAACUAUUUAUGAAUUAGUUGAAAGUGUGUGUCUGCUACUGCUGGUCAGUUUCAAGAAAAUAUGCAUGGCGAUAUAAAAAGGACUGGGAAAACACAAAAGGACAUAUCAGUCCUGUCCUUUGUAUUGUUGCAGCUUUCUUUAUAUCUUUUUAAGUAUGGUUUGAGGGUUACUGAAUUACAGCUAAAUGGACAAAAGGGAAGGCAGGGAAUGUGAAGAGGUGAGUUCCCAUUUUCAUUCUUUCCCCUGUGAAUGUUUACUGCCCCUCCUAACCCUUUUAUUCUCUGCCCUCUCUCCCUCUCUCUCUCUCUUCCUAAAAAUAGUAGCUCUGGGGAAAAAAAAAAAAAAGAUACUGCGGGAAGUUCAGUUAGAAGAAAAUCAGGGAUGGCCAGGGAUCUAGGAAAAAUCGAAGAAGGUUAAAGCGGAGAGAGAGAAGCCAGGUUGGCAGAUGUGAAGGGGAAGAUACGAAGAGAGCAAGAGAGAGAGGACAGAGAGGAGGCAGCAGCGACCCGGGAGAAGAGAAAGGAGGGGAGGGAUGUAUGGAUGAAUGAAAGCAAGCAAGGAAGGAAGCAAGGAGGCAGGCAGCGUUAGGCAGACCCAUUCAGGUUUGUUUUAUCAACCUCUAUCAUGUUUAUUAUUUACACUUUCUUCACACUUUGACUUCUAACUCAUUUUCUUUUAUGCUUUUAACAUGUUUCUUUAUUUCUUUUGCUGUGUUUUAUAGAUCCCCAUCCACUUACUACUGAAGUAUGUUGCUUUUGGUACUGUCCAAAACAUACUGUCCCCUUAAACUUCUACCUUGAAUACUAAGUUCAUCAGACUCAAAUGAUUAUCCUCACAAGCAAUAGAUCAAGGCUCACUCGACCAUUAAUGUGCUCAUCUUACAGCCUACAAAAUGAAGAUGUAAUGUAUUUGUUUUUCGUAUGGACUUACUUGAAUCAAAUAUACUGUAUGCAACCGACAAAAAUAACUCCCAAAAUGCAAAUCAAUUUACGUCAAUUGGCUGCUUGGUGCCAAUUAAAUUAUUUAGGAAAAGGGUAUUCUGCUGAGCAAUCAUUUCAUUCUGCAGAUCUUCCAUGGUACAAACAGAAGUAAUAUCUGAAAUUAUUGUCAUUCUAUCCUUAAACAAUAAAAAAAUAGCUUAUUACAUAUUGAGUUUUGCAAUGCAGAACAUAUUCAAAUGACAUAUUUCUUAACUCUUACCCCCAAGAUAAAAUAUAUGUUAUAAAAAAAAGUAGUCCUCAGGUCGCACUGCAUGGUCAUGGGACACCUGAAAUCAGUGGACAACUUACUGCCUUGCUAUAGCAGAACAUAUCUGUUGGUAAGAAACUUGCUGCCCAUAUUCUAAGUGCGUAAGGACCACUGGUCAAAUGCAACUUGCACAAAGCUCUACUCAGCUAGUGCUAUAGAAUGCAACAGAAGAAAGUCAGGGAACAUUACAUGUAAGUGUCUUUAUGGGGUGGAAAAGUAAGAGAGCAAAUAUUGUCUCUUUCAUUCAUGCACUUUUAUGAAAAAUCUCAUGAUGCAUCAUACUCUACUUUCAUCUAAAAUAGCUUCUUUCAACAUAAAAGCUUAUAUAAAAUAUCAUACAGUAAUAAUACAUAUGUUUUAUUUUUUCUUCACAGCAUCUAUGGUAGCCAAGGGCUACCUUUCUUAGUAAAUGCCCAGUAAUGAGUCAUAUAUAUUCCAGUGUUGUGUUGCUAAUAUCCACCAUUAAAACCCGACGCCUGUUGUCACAGUAGGUGCACAAUGCUGCCAUGACCUACACUUGUCACAAGUGUAAGAACUGGUGGCAGCACCUGCUGUCUUUAGGACCGUCAGUCCUUACAUCUCUCAAAAAUGUUACAGACAAAAUAUAUGCCUAUGUAUUUAUUAAUUCAGUAUAUAAGGAUAUGUUCAACCAAGUGAUUGCCAAGGUUUUUUUUUUUUUUUUUGGGGGGGGGGGGAUUUUAUAUGUAUCCGUUUUAACUUUGUAUUAUUCAUACAGCUCUGCUUUGAUAACCUUGGUCCUUUCAUAUAUUACCAUUCCUCACACCAACGCUGUUCUCAAAAGAAAUAUUUAGAAAGGUGACCAUGUAGCCUGUCCAAUGAGACAGAGGGCCUGCAUUACAAAACAUACAGUACCUGUGAAUCACAAAAUAGCACAGACAAAUUAGCUGUGAAACUCUUUUGUGUUUUUCUUCUUUUUAGACCAAGGACACUCACAUCAGCAGCAUUUGGUGCUCAAGUUCCGUGAACUAUUGUGGAAGUAUUGCAUUGAUUUUUUUUUCUCUAAAUACUAUCAUAUGUACAAAAAAACGUUCUUUUUUUAAAAUAAAGGGAUAGAAUAUCUCAGUGUUGUCAAUUUGUGUAUUAAGCUCUCAGAUUUGUGUCAGGUGUGUGUGGUAGUAAGCUGGGCUCAUUUCCUCUACUUUGAGGGAUUUGGGUUUUUGGGCCUUGUUGCUCAAACAUAAUGAAAUAUUAUCAGGCGAUUGUAAAGUACAGGCAUGAUAUCACAUGCUCAACUGCUCUCACUUCAUUGGAAAUCCAAUAUAUGGGAUUUGAAAUAAAACAAUUUCCAUUGUGUUUUACUGUUUGUGUCAAAAAAGCACAUUUGUUUUUGAUUUAGAUCCAUCAUCGCUGAAGUGCAACACAUUUCAGGCUCUUCCAUAAUAGACGAAGUAGCACAGCCUUAGGGGAAGGAGUGCGGCACUAACAUAAAGACGUACAAGUGAUCAGAAAACAAAUCCUUUUACAAUAUAUAUAUAUAUAUAUAUAUAUAUAUAUAUAUAUACACACAGAUAAUUACUCUUUCUUGGUUAUUUGGGAUUUUUUAAUAUGGUAGUGUGAGGUGAAUGAUUAGGUCUAAAGAUCAGUUACCCAUAGCAACCAAGUUACAUAUAAAUCCUGAAGGAUGACUGCAUUCUUCUGAUAAUCUUCUUUUAUUAACUAAGUGGUAUAAAAACAAGAACACAAUUUUAAUGCUGAAUUCAGUCCUUUUUUUAAAUAAAAAAAUUUGUUUAGCAUGAAAUGUGUAAGCGAUUCCAGCGUUCUUGUAUAUUCGCUAACAAAAUAAGUAUUUUAGUAUCCCACAUAAUAUUUCCAUAUGUAUAGGCAACAUGGUAAUAAAAAGUCAUAUUUGAAAACAGUGGAUGUGAUGGGGCUGAAGAGCAGAUUAAAGCUGGCCAUACACUGACAAAAAAUAAGGAUUCCUCCAUCCACACUAUACACCAGCUGUCAAAAUACCCGAACAAUGGUAGCAUCUGAUUGGAUGCAGCCAUUUUUUGAGCAACAAUGUUUUGCCCAACUCUUUUGAUUUUUCUGAUUGGAUGCAGCCAUUUUUUGGCCUGACAAUGUUCUGCCCAACUCUUCCGAUUUUUUUAAUAAAAGGAUAUCAGACAGGGAGUUGGCAGUGGCCGUCAAGGCCACCCACUGUGUAAAUUUCAUGCAGAACUGGACACAAUUCACAUAGUGUAUGGCCAGCUUUACCUGGAGCUGCGAUUUAUGCCACUUUACAUACAUUGAAACCAUUUAGAUGUAUGCGGUCAGAUUAAUAAUGGGAUUGCUGACUGGUUGCUAUAGGUUAUAGCGCCAACUCUGCUUUAUUUUCUUUUCAAUACUUUCUGGCUCCACUUAAGUGGAAGCAAUUAGUAGAGGCAGCUGUCCACUGAUCGCCUUGAAUCAAACCUAUCCUAAUUAUUCUAUACUUUUGUUGGCAUUGGUGUUUCUAAAUAUACUUGCACAGAUUUAUUUUAAUACAUAUCCUUGGUUGCUAUAGGUAUCACUCUUUGUAUAUAAUUAUUUAGCAUUUUCUGACUGAAUAAACCAAAUUGCUUUGUAUCAAGAAA